UUUUUAUGGAGAGUUUGAUCCUGGCUCAGGAUGAACGCUGGCGGCGUGCCUAAUACAUGCAAGUCGAGCGAACAGACGAGGAGCUUGCUCCUCUGACGUUAGCGGCGGACGGGUGAGUAACACGUGGAUAACCUACCUAUAAGACUGGGAUAACUUCGGGAAACCGGAGCUAAUACCGGAUAAUAUAUUGAACCGCAUGGUUCAAUAGUGAAAGACGGUUUUGCUGUCACUUAUAGAUGGAUCCGCGCCGCAUUAGCUAGUUGGUAAGGUAACGGCUUACCAAGGCAACGAUGCGUAGCCGACCUGAGAGGGUGAUCGGCCACGACUGGAACUGAGACACGGUCCAGACUCC
rnacentral:rRNA from 1 species